rnacentral:tRNA from 2 species
GGCCCAGUGGUCUAGACGUAUGAUUCUUCGUUUGGGUCGAAGAGGUCCCGGGUUCAAUUCCCGGCUGGGCCC